rnacentral:rRNA from 1 species
UACAGAGGUCCCGAGCGUUGUUCGGAUUCAUUGGGCGUAAAGGGUGCGUAGGCGGCGUGGAAAGUCUGAUGUGAAAUCCUGGGGCUCAACCCUGGAACUGCAUUGGAUACUUCCUUGCUAGAGUACUGGAGAGGAGACUGGAAUUUACGGUGUAGCAGUGAAAUGCGUAGAGAUCGUAAGGAAGACCAGUGGCGAAGGCGAGUUUCUGGACAGUUACUGACGCUGAGGAGCGAAGGCCAGGGGAGCAAACAGG